AUUGAACGCUGGCGGGAGGCUUAACACAUGCAAGUCGAACGAGUGGCGGACGGGUGAGUAAUGUCUGGGAAACUGCCCGAUGGCGGGGGAUAACUACUGGAAACGGUAGCUAAUACCGCAUACCAUCAGAUGUGCCGAUAUGGGAUUAGCUAGUUGGUGGGGUAACGGCUCACCAAGGCGACGAUCCGUAGCUGGUCUGAGAGGACGACCAGCAACACGGGAACUGAGACACGGCCCAGACUCCUACGGAAGGAAGCAGUGGGGAAUUUUGGACAAUGGGGGCAAGCCUGAUGCAGCCAUCCCGCGUGUAUGAAGAAGGCCGUAGGGUUGUAAAGUACUUUCAGCAGGGAGGCGUUACCUGCAGAAGAAGCACCGGCUAACUCCGUGCCAGCAGCCGCGGUAAUAC
rnacentral:rRNA from 1 species